AGAGUUUGAUCCUGGCUCAGGAUGAACGCUAGCGGCAGGCCUAACACAUGCAAGUCGAGGGAUAAGCCUUCGGGCUAAGACCGGCGCACGGGUGCGUAACGCGUAUACAAUCUGCCUUUUAUCCGGGGGAUAGCCCGAAGAAAUUUGGAUUAAUACCCUAUGGUAUAAGAGCACGGCAUCGUGCACUUAUUAAAGCUACGGCGGUAAAAGAUGAGUAUGCGUUCUAUUAGCUAGUUGGAGAGGUAACGGCUCCCCAAGGCGAUGAUAGAUAGGGGUUCUGAGAGGGAUGUCCCCCACACUGGUACUGAGAUACGGACCAGACUCCUACGGGAGGCAGCAGUGAGGAAUAUUGGACAAUGGUCGGAAGACUGAUCCAGCCAUGCCGCGUGCAGGAUGACGGCCUUAUGGGUUGUAAACUGCUUUUGUAAGGGAAGAAUAAGAGCUACGAGUAGUUUGAUGACGGUACCUUACGAAUAAGCAUCGGCUAACUCCGUGCCAGCAGCCGCGGUAAUACGGAGGAUGCGAGCGUUAUCCGGAUUUAUUGGGUUUAAAGGGUGCGUAGGCGGCCUGUUAAGUCAGCGGUGAAAUCUAGGAGCUUAACUCCUAAAUUGCCAUUGAUACUGGCGGGCUUGAGUGUAGAUGAGGUAGGCGGAAUGCGUGGUGUAGCGGUGGAAUGCAUAGAUAUCACGCAGAACUCCGAUUGCGAAGGCAGCUUACUAAGGUACAACUGACGCUGAAGCACGAAAGCGUGGGUAUCAAACAGGAUUAGAUACCCUGGUAGUCCACGCAGUAAACGAUGAUAACUGGGCGUAUGCGAUAUACAGUAUGCUCCUAAGCGAAAGCGUUAAGUUAUCCACCUGGGGAGUACGCCGGCAACGGUGAAACUCAAAGGAAUUGACGGGGGCCCG
rnacentral:rRNA from 1 species